rnacentral:rRNA from 1 species
AGGACGAACGCUGGCGGCGUGCUUAACACAUGCAAGUCGAACGGUGAAGGGAAGCUUGCUUCCCGGAUCAGUGGCGAACGGGUGAGUAACACGUGGGCAAUCUGCCCCAGACUUUGGGAUAACUACUCGAAAGAGUAGCUAAUACCGAAUAUUCAGCCUUGCAGGCAUCUGCGAGGCUGGAAAGUUUCUCGGUCUGGGAUGAGCCCGCGGCCUAUCAGCUAGUUGGUGAGGGUAAUGGGCUCACCAAGGCGACGACGGGUAGCCGGCCUGAGAGGGCGACCGGCCACACUGGGACUGAGACACGGCCCAGACUCCUACGGGAGGCAGCAGUGGGGAAUAUUGCGCAAUGGGCGAAAGCCUGACGCAGCAACGCCGCGUGCGGGAUGAAGGCCUUCGGGUUGUAAACCGCUUUCAGCAGGGAAGAAGCGAAAGUGACGGUACCUGCAGAAGAAGCACCGGCUAACUACGUG